GAUGAAGAACGCAGCGAAAUGCGAUACUUGGUGUGAAUUGCAGAAUCCCGUGAACCAUCGAGUCUUUCAACGCAAGUUGCGCCCGAAGCCACUAGGCCGAGGGCACGCCUGCCUGGGCGUCACACGCCGUUGCCCCCCCAUCUACUCCUUCGGGAUUGCGGGGGGGCGGAUGAUGGCCUCCCGUGCGCCUAGCCGCGCGGUUGGCAUAAAUACCAAGUCCUCGGCGACGCACGCCACGACAAUCGGUGGUUGCGAAACCUCGGUUGCCCGUCGUGUGCGUUCGUCGCGCAUCGAGGGCUCGAAAAAAUGCUCGGCUCCAGCUGGGCUUUCAACGCGACCCCAGGUCAGGCGGGGGUUACCCGCUGAAUUUAAGCAUAUCAAUAAGCGGAGGA
rnacentral:misc_RNA from 1 species